UACGGUCAUAUAACGUUAAAACACGGGUUCUCGUACAAUCAGCGAAGUUAAGCAAAGACGUGUCUGGUCAGUACGUAGAUGAGUAACCGCUUGGAAAUACCAGGUGCUGUAUG